GACGAACGCUGGCGGCGUGCUUAACACAUGCAAGUCGAAUGGAAAGGCCCUGCUUUUGUGGGGUGCUCGAGUGGCGAACGGGUGAGUAACACGUGAGUAACCUGCCCUUGACUUUGGGAUAACUUCAGGAAACUGGGGCUAAUACCGGAUAGGAGCUCCUGUUGCAUGGUGGGGGUUGGAAAGUUUCGGCGGUUGGGGAUGGACUCGCGGCUUAUCAGCUUGUUGGUGGGGUAGUGGCUUACCAAGGCUUUGACGGGUAGCCGGCCUGAGAGGGUGACCGGCCACAUUGGGACUGAGAUACGGCCCAGACUCCUACGGGAGGCAGCAGUGGGGAAUAUUGCACAAUGGGCGGAAGCCUGAUGCAGCAACGCCGCGUGCGGGAUGACGGCCUUCGGGUUGUAAACCGCUUUCGCCUGUGACGAAGCGUGAGUGACGGUAAUGGGUAAAGAAGCACCGGCUAACUACGUG
rnacentral:rRNA from 1 species